UGAAGUCAUGGUGUAGAGAUAGAUACAGCUUGCAAGAUCUUCUUCAUGUUCCUCUCCCUCCUGCACCAGUUUGCAGCAAAACACACCAAACACACAGAUGUGCAGUGACAUUUUUAAAUCAUGAACUGAUUUGUAAGGGUAUGCAAAGAGAAUAUUAAGCACUCAUAGCUACUGUUCAGGCCAGGCCUUGUAUUUUCUUUACAUGUACUAAUGCUAAAAAUACAACGAGGCAAAUUUCUCAAGCAUGGCCAGUUUGGAUGGGAUUGUUUUUUCUUCCUAAAAUGAAAUGUAGUUUGGUUGAAGGUCUUGCUUCUUUGUCAAUAAUUAAACAGCCCUGCACUUGUUGAGGCAGCCCUGAACGUAGACACCGGGAUCAGCCAGCCUUGACCACAAGAGGAUAAAACAUGCUGCCCCCGUCUACAGAAUGGAUAUUUUUUUUUUCAGAGAACAGAAGUCCUUUUACUAUUAACCCUGUCAACUUCACUGGUGAAAGAAGGCCUUUCCAGAUAAUGGGACAUUUGCCCAAAGAAGCUGUGGAGUCUCCUCCUUGGAGUGCUUCCAAAGCCACCCAGAGGUGGUCCGAGCACCCUGCAUGGGGUGUCCCUGCUGGAGCAGGGGUUGGACCCGAUGACCUCCAGAUGUAAGGAUCUCAACUCGCUCUGUGACCCUGUGAUCUCACGAUGCUAGGCAGACAUGAGCACUGAAGGAGCUGCUUGGACCUCGUCUGCUUUGAGUACGGUUUCAUGUGAGGGUGCUUCCCAGAAACAAACCAGGCACAGCUGGUUUCUGCUUGGCCUUUGAGCACUCAGACUGCUGAGAAAGCUCCAAGCUGCACCGGUGUUGUGAGAACCAGGAAAAAAAAGGAUAAAACACAAAAGUGAAAGUCACUUUAAACCAAAGAAAUUAUUUUGUGGAAAGGGCCCUGUGAAUACAGACCAGGGCUACUGAUGCCCUGUACUGUGAUCCUCAGUCACCUGCUGGAGGCCCAAGCAGUGACCACAUGCUACAACCUGCUGGAGGGGCAGGUCCUGACUAACUUCACAUGAGAUAAAAGGUGAGCUCAUACCAAACUCUGAGCACAAGCAAACGGAUGUGGCACACGAGCCAGGUGGGUGCUCCUAUACUAAUUACUUUGUUUGCAUAUCAGCUUGUGUUCUUUGUGUCACUCUACAAGAACUUAGGAAAUGUGUGCCACUGUGGUUGGAGAUCGUUGUCUCUCAGCAAAGAUGUGAGAAGCGUAUGGGCAUGUAUGGCAAACGCAAAAUGAAAUGGGUUAGUUCCUUUCACGCGUGAAACUCAUCUUGCUUUGCAGUACAAGAGACUGAGAGUUUACAUGUGGCCAGUGUCUCUGUCCCAACUAAAAGAUACUUCUCUGCUGAGAAGUGGUAAGGUUUCCAGCCAUUCUAAUGUGGUUAUAAGGAUAAGUCUGGUCAUGCCCUCAUAUGUGUCUCUUUGCUUUAUCCGGCUAAGGCAGUGCCCCUUUCAGAAUGAAGGCAAGCAAUGUGACAUUUCAGGUACUACAGCAAUCUUAAUUGCAAGUCAUUCUAGUAGCUGAGGUGACUAAUGUAAUAAAUACGCAUACAUGCAUUGAUACAGACAGCACUCAUUGCAAAAAUGACUGCCAGUCAUUUCUCUAACCAGAAUGUACUAUGAUGUGUACUCUGCUGUUGAAGUUUUAGUGGCGCCUCCGAAUGCCAUACAGCUAGGCCUCACACUUAAAAAUAGCAGCAAGGUAUGAAUAAGUGCUGUUUGGUUCAGCAGGAAAGAAGAAAACAUCACCUCAGUAGGAACAGAUGAGUCUGGUUAGGUUUUAUUUCUCUCACUGAAAAACUGAAAAGAAAUAGCCAUAUUUCAUAAUGAAAAUUGCAUCUAAUUGAAAGCGAAACAUUCAAGCACCCAAAAGAGAAGUGAGAAGAAGGGAUCCCAUUUGCAGGGGGACAGCAGAGCUGAGAGAAGAGCGGAGCCCUGUAGUCUGGUGGCCAGCAGGGCACAGCCCUGUGCUGUUCUGGGGAAGGAGUGGGCUCAGUGAGUGAAAGAUGCUAACAUGACCUAGACACUCUGCAACAUUAAACACUUAAAAAGGUUUGGGGUUUUGAAUACGAAGACCUCAGACUAAUUGGUUACCGUGGCAAACAAUCACCGGUAGAAGUCUUUUAACCUUUAAUUAAAGAUAGACAAAAAAAAAAAAAAAAAAAAAAAAGGAGGAAAAACAGUUUAAGCACUUGAAAAAUAAGACUUUUAAAGUGUCCAUUAUUCCCCUUCCCUUAGCUGUCAAUAGUUUUUGUAGCAGUGCUUCCCUUCCCUUUAUUUAAGUUCAUAGCAGCACUCCCUGUUUUGGGGAAGAGACACUCAUUGAGAUAGACUGGAUCUGCUGUUGGUAUUCAUUUUGGGAUUCCGUUCUGCUGACUUGAAAACACAUGUAUGCAGGAGGGGAGAGAAAAGAAGAGCAAAGACCAAAAAAUAUGACUUCCUCUUCAGGUGUUGACUUUUACUUGCAGCCUCACUGCUAGAAAAAGACAAGUACAACACAUGGACUUAUCAGCCCCUCUAAGAUCAAGGGGAUUUAUACCAGCGACUGUCUCAUUUAGACAUAGCUUUUAGUUGUCUCCUUGAUUGCAGUUCAGAGCAGUGUUCUACAACCUGUACUCUCCUAUCUAGGAUAGUUUGAUUAAAAGGAAGGUAAAAGAAAGAAAAGGCAGAGAGGCAUGUAAAAAGACUACAGAGCUUCUGAGAGCAGGGUGACUUCAAGACCCCAAGUCUUCCCUUCCAAGUGGAUUUCCAGGACUGCACUGAAAUUGGUAGACAGAAAGAUGACUUCCAGGUAUCUCCUCGCCAGAAACUCACCAGAAGCUCUGAUCAGAUCAAGUAAGUAAAUACCAACAGUGUCACAGCGGAGACUGAGGUCUUCAAGUUGACAACAACUGUCAUCAUUUCUCCUUUCUGUCCACUUUUGCUAGGAUCAGUAUCAAAAUGGAUGUACCCCAGAGGAUGGUAUACACGCCACUGGUCACCAGUUGGCUUUAGCUUCUGGCACAUGAGUUUUGGUCCAUUGAUUUUGGCAUUUAUCUUGUACAUCAGGCCUGACAUCAGCGUAGUCCUUGGUUAAUAUUAGGAAGACUUUCAGAUUGAACUGAUUUGGUCUUCCUAUCUUUAACUUGUGCUGACUUCUCCAAGUAAUUUUCUCCAGCAGACUGAGCUGCACUUUCUCACUUCUGUGAACUUUAGCACAUGGGUUUGCCUGAUGUGCUCGUGUAGAGUGUAUAAUGCUCUCUUCUGCUUCCUUGUCUACCUUUUUUCUUUUCCAGGAGAAUACCACAGUCACGAGAGCAGGGGUACCCUGGGAGAGGCUCUGCCAAUGGCACUUUCAUAUUCCUUAAUAGUGCAAUACUCAUUAGCACAGACUGGGGAAGCUGGGUGAAUCAUGUCCAUGAGUGUCUCUACUAGGGUCUGGAAAGACCAUCUGCACAGAUCAAGACACAUCAGUGGUGAGGAGUAAGAACAACCCACCUUAGUAUGCAGCACAGCACAACCUUAUGGCAUUCUCUUGGGAGAUAAGCGAUGCUAGCUCUAGUUCCCCCAGGCAGAGGAGGAAAUUAAACCCAGGACUCCCCCAUCCUUUAUGAGUGAAUAAAAAGUGGCUGUCUUCCUCUCAGCUUUGUGAAUAUAAUCAUGAUUUUUUUUUUCCAGGGAAGCAAUUUGGUAAGUGCACACCAAAUUCAACAAUCAUUUUGGGACAAUGGAAAAAAAGGCAUUUUUCAGUGAGAAGGAUACCGGCUAAAAAAACAUUCUCUUGACUGUAGUGACAGUACAGCCAGACAGACCUCAUCACUCUGCCACUUUAUAUCCAGCAGCUGUGGGACAGGAGACUCUUGUACUUGCAGACAACGGAAGAACUUACCUGGCAAUAAGAAAUCUUGCUAGGAAAAAAGGGUUGUGUGGGAGUAAUGAAAUCCUCUGGGAAUGGCGGAUGAAACCUGAACACUGGUGGGGCUGCCUUGAGUUCUGACACAAUUGCCACACUGCAUAAGAAAAACCUGCAGAGAACAGACUCGCUCUGAGGGCUGAGAUGUGACCAGUGUCCCAGUUAUUAUUAGGUACUAAAGGUCUGAAAAGGUUCAAACUCCAUCUUUGUAGGAAUUCAAAGAAGGGGAUGUUUGAGGCCUUGCUGACAGCUUCCAGACUGAAAAAGAAAGCAGAGGAAAAAGGGGCAUUUCUCUGGCCUUCCUUGGUGAUUGCUCAGAACUACGUCUACUGAUGGCUGUGUCCAACAAUGAGAAGAAGAGCCAAGAGAAGUCAAAAUCUGCGGGAUGUGAUGGUCUGCUAGUUCAGAAAAGCCACCUGGAGAAACAAAAACAAAUGUCAGACAGCUGUGAGUGGGAGAAAUGCUAUUGUUUUCCUGGUAGUCCGUCCUCCUAGUCUUCUGAGAGAAGCGGGUGAGCGUGUGUUUGUGUGUGUGAGUAUGCUGGGAAUAAGUAAUCAAGGAAACAUUCAAGGAACGGGCAGCGUUCAGAGCCUCGUGGUUGAGCAAGUGCGUGGCAAACAGUGUCAGCUGCUGGUUACUGCUCCACCCUGCAUUUCCCCUCUUCUGCAGGAAUGCACUUGCAGACGUGCUCCUCCUUUUGCUGCUCAGCGUUCAGAGCUGCGGAUGACAAACUGGUGACCUCAGCAAGAGGCAAAACCGGAGCUGCAGAGGGGUAGCAGAAUCAAUUUGCCAUGGUUAUGCCUCCUGCCAAUUGUUUAGAAUUUCCAGGAUUUAAUCUUUCAUCCAUGUGUGUACCCACUAUUUACCUUUGAAUGAGAUAAUGCAUAAUGCAUUGGGCUGUAUGGAAACUAACCAUGAAAAACCACUUUUUUUGAAGAAGAAGAAGAGAAAAUUGCACUCUCCGUCCGUGGCCUGGAAAAAAUAGUGCUGAUGUUACAGCAGCAGUGAAGGCAGAGGAAUGGACAGUUUAACUUCAUACGUACAUCUACGGAGCCUCAAAGAGUCAGAAUCAGCAGAGGUCUUUUAAGAGGUUUUCCUGUCUGAGAGCACACCCACAGUGGAGCUGCUCACUUCUGGCCUAUCUGAUGGUAUUUGGCUAACUGUGACAGAGGCAUAAAUGAACAGCAGAGAGGUCAAGGGCAUGGAAUUCAGUGCACAGAUUGGAUCGAACUCCAACAUGCUACGUUGCACCAGGAGAUGGAAAAAUUGCCCGUGGCUUGCUAAGCUAGCUCUCCUCCUCUUAGUCUGUGGUUAAUCCACUGUCCUUCCUUUACAGAGUUGCCAAAGAAGCGGAGAUAGCACAAGGAAGCUUAAAACUUUGCUUUUAAAAGCAUCAGUCCUUAAUUGUCCUAUUUGGAAAAGAAAGCUGUAAUGUGAGGAACACCUAAGGAGGGCUCCCUUACAGUUGUCCCUGUGGGAUAAAAGACCAUGUUGUGCUACAUUUUUCUGGAAAGGCUCUUCCUUUAUUCUUAAUUCUUGAAAACUGUAAAUCUCUGUCUUCUCCUCUAGGUACAAAUGAGGGGGAAUUGUUACAGUCACUGUGGGAACAGAACUGGAAAACCAGCCUAAGAGUGAAGAGACUCAGGACAACAGAAUGAUGACAUUGUAUCACGGAGCAGAUGGUCCCGAUGAAGGUGUAUCUUCCACUGAGUAAUCAUUCAUCAGUACAUGAAUGUGCUGUUUGAAGCCACCUCAUCAUUUAAAAUCAAUAAUUUGUCUUUCAGAACAGCUUUUUAUGUAGGGAAAGGCCAGAUGUGAAUAUUAUCCAAGGCAGGAAAGUCAUCCUGAACUUCACCUCCUAUUAGGUAGCUGGUUCUCUUCUAAUCCAUCUGACUGGGGAAGGGAUGGGAACACUAAGCUGGAUCUGAGCUGCACACAGAGGAGCUCCUGUAUCUGCAUGCAGACCUUCUGAUUCCACAGGGGAUCUACACAGGCCUCACAAGCUUGGUUUGACUUGGGCUUGAGAAAGCUGAGUGUAUUAGCCUCAAAUAAAGGAGAGUAAUUUCUACAGGGAGAGCAAUCAGUGAGAGACUGCUAAAGGGAAAUAUGGAUCUCUGAUUCUGGCAGGAGAUGAGAGUAACCUCCUAAAAAAGUCUCCCUGCAGAAGGCAGUUUUUAAAAUGACCUUGAAGAAAGAUACAGCAAUUUAAUCUGUCUCUGAUGAGGGUUUUUGCAGAGCCUCUUGCAAUUUCAUGCAUGUUGGCUGGACAAUCCUGCCCUGACAAAUGCCCUAGAAUGCCAGAGAUGCAGAGAGCUUCUGACUCUUCCAUUGGACUUGAGAAGGAUUUAAAAAAAGAUAUGGCUCUUGAAAGACAGGAUAAAUUGUGGCCCACAGAGAGGAAGACUGGCAAGGCAUCCCUAUUAUGUUGUAAACUGGCAGCUGUAGGCCCUGAUAGAACAGGGAUUGGUGAAUGAGCGGAAGAAUAAUUCUGAUGAGUGAAAGAAAAUGUUGUGGAGAAAUCUUCAUAAUGCUGGGCAGAGGAUUAGCGGGUGGAGUGCUUUCAUGCCCAACACAGGUCUAGAGAAGGUCUUCAGAGGACCAAGUUCAGCCAAUUCUGGCCAUUUAUCAUUUUCCCUUAAUCACCCAGUCAAGGUGACCAAGUAGCUUUGUCCAGCCCUUCUUCUGCCAGGCGCGCUACUGAACAUCACAUUUGAGAACACUCUGUUUAAUGCCAAGUGUUUUGUUUUAUUUUGUUUCCUUCUAUGCAUGAAAAUAAAUGAAUCAGCCCUCUGAGAGGGGGCUUGGGAGUAUCUGCUUCUCCACGCUGCACACAACUUUCUGCAACAUAGGAAAAAUGGGAUACAGUGGUGUUCAGAGCUCACAGAUACCCACAAACCAAAGACCGGCUUAGACGCAGUCUUAGCUAGAAGAGUACUUACUACUUUCCUCUUUUCCCUUUUCUAUAUGCACUGGCUAUGUUUCAGGUAGCCAAUAUCUGCCCUACAAUGGUGCCUCAGUGCAGCUUUACUAUGUACUUUGUACUUACUCAUUCUUCCCUUGCAGUGAGGCAGUGGGAACACAUAUCCCAGGGGUUGGAGCCUGGGGCAAGUAGGAAUUAAGACAGUUCCUGUAGUCUUGAAAAGAGAAUGUUAGGGUAGAACCCUUCCGUCCUACUGUCACCUUGCACUAGACAACAACUGUGAUGUCUGGUCUCAGUCAAGAAUGAUUAAUGAAUGAUGUGUGUUUGUCCCUAGCAGAUGCUUGUAGUAACUGUGUUGGCCAGUGUUUGGAGUGAAAUAAAAUACAGCAUGUAACAGACAGAGGCACUUGCAUUGAAGAUGAGUCACACUGCAUCACUUCUUUCAUUUUUUUUUUCAGGGAAGGAGGAUUUGACCCUCACUGAGUGAAGGAGUUGCUGAUUUAGUCAAGUCAAGAACAGGAUGCGACGCUUUGGUCUAGUGCAUUGACAUUUGCAUCUCUGAGUGAGAUCGCUUGUUUUCAUUGGAGGAAUGGCAAGGCUGCCUUUUAAAACAUUUAAAGGUAGAGUGUCAUAAGCCAUGUAGCUGUGAAGACUUGAUUGGAGGGAAUGAAUCCACUGAAGGAUCUGCAGAACAGGAACAACGAAGGCCCUGGCAGCAUGAACUUCCCUGUGUAGUACAGUACACAGUGAUCAAGUUUUGACAUUUGCCUCUGUGAGAAGAGAAGUGAACACUCACUAACAACGGGAUGGUCCCAGCUCACCUCUGACUGAGUUUGCAGGGGAACAUGCAGAGAAAACCAGGAGUUUGAAGAGGCUGCUCGCUGGCAAACCAGACCACAGCAUUUGCUACAGCGGUCGUAGAUCAGGCUGCUCACAGAAAGGGGCCCUUGUCUGAAGAUUCCCACUCAAGUCCCAUUGACUUUAUGGAUAGUCCUCGGGAUCUUGUCUGAGCACAUCCAAAUGUUUGUACAGCACCUGAUGCAAACAGGCCGUCGUCCUGCUUCAUUUGUCAAAUGAUAAAUAACAUAAUAAUGCUGUAAUUGAAGUCAUUCAUACAGACAGUAAUCAUCUGGUGAUUCAGUGCAGCGCAGACUUGCUAGGUGGAAGGCUGUGCUAAGCUUAUGCAGAGACUUCUAUCUUGCUCAUCAGUUUCUGCACGCUAAAUAUAUUCUGAAUUUACGAAUGCUGAAGUUUUAAGGUGAGAUUUUCUAUGCUUGGGCUCAACCCAAAAAUGAUUCAUUUCCGUAAUGCCAGAAGAAAACUGUUCAGGCACUUAUGAGUUAUGUAAGACUGAAAGACAAGGUAUUGAUAAUGUUGCUAUUAACAGCAGAAUCAAGACUCCCUGACAGCGCCUAUAAUAAUAUUUUUUUAUUUAUUGAGCAAGGAAGCAGCAAUGCAGAGGGAGGUAGAAGGCAGGAAACUUCACAGAGUUUAUGCCUGCCAGCGAGCAGCACUUGGUCCUGAAAUCAGGCUCUGGCAAUGUGCAGUGCACGGCAAAAAUACUUGAAUUAAUGCCUAAGACCUUGCUGAUACAUACCUCAUAGUUAAUCUGGUUACGCGGGGUUUAUUUCACAGUCGGAAGUUCUUGCGCUGGAAGGGAGUCCUGCUGGGGUUUUCUGAGCACACGAUGGAAUUAAUGAAUGCACAAAUGCAGCUUGCCAGCCUAGAUUUAAAUUGCUUACUAGAUCAAAAUCUGCUCGUUUUCUCUGUCUUUUUUUUUUUUUUUCCCCUUCCCCAGCCUCUCUGUCCUUUAUUUAUUAAUUUGUUUAGGGAAACAUAUCAAGAGCACAGAAAGUGCCCGUGGACGUCACCAAGGCAGUGAAUGCAGAUAAAUGGUUGUUUUUUCAUGCUGGCCUGAAUCCUAGCACGAUGCCUUGAGCUGUGCUUCUGGGCAUGGGGUAUCCUUGCAGGGGCUGGUGGGUGGCUGGUGCUGGCUGGGGAUGCGAGGAGCUGCAGCCACCAGCAAUCCUUUUCUGCAGCCCCUGGGAAAAGGAUGGCAUUACGAGCCCUGCUCUGAAAGGACAGGCAGUAAACCUGGGCUGCUUUGCAGGAAGGGUCACGUUCUUUCUAUCUUUUGGAUCCCUGCUUCCUCUUGUCAGAUUUUAAUGGGUGCUUGCAAAUAGCGUAAUAUUUUGAUUUAUUUGGCCACCGGGCAGAUCUCCAGCCUGCUGUCUUGACUGUGGCGUUUGUAUUUUAAUAGGAGUUUUAAGAAGGCUUGGCUAGGGGUAUUUAAGGUAGUCCCUGAGCUUUUAUGUAGACUUCCUCAGCCGUGAUUAGAAGCGCAGCGCUGCAGAGAUGCAGAGGCAGAUUUUUAGGAUGUGGAGACACAGAGAUUCUGCAAGUGUGCCUUCACUGAUGCCCUCCUAACGCCUCUUUCAGAUGAGCGAGCUCAUCUCCCACUGCCCGUUGCAUCCCUUUCACAUCCCAGCCUCUGGACUCCUUAACACUGCGUCCAACCGUGCUGCGCAAGGCCAGGAUGAAGGCAGCCCUUGCUCCUCCCUGAGCCUCUCAGGCUGAGCAUGGUGGAAGGAAGGAUGCCUGCUCACCCCUCCCAGCUCCCCAGCACCUGCUUUGCAGGGCUGGACGCCUCCCUCCCGGCCCUGGCGCUGGGAUGUGCUGCAAGGAGGUAAUGUAUGGAUGCAUGGAGCUCAAGGCAGCGAGACGUCUCCCCGGACUCCUGUCUGCAUGCUCAUGAGCAAAGGGGAUAGGAGACAAAUGUGGCUCCUUCAAGGUGAAGGGCAGCGGUGGCAUGAAGGAAAAGUAGCCUGUGCUCUGUGCUGAAGCCAGGAGACCCUCCUGAAAAUUUACUGCUUUUCAUUUUUAAUGACGUCUUAGAUGGGAAUUUCAGAGCUCGUGAAAACAGGAGGCUGAUAAAUGCUGCAGGGUUAAUCAAGAGAAAGCCUGCCAACGUAUCCAGGUGUCCUGAGCUGCACUAUCACUGCUCUUCCUCACCUUUUUCCCUCUGUGCUGCAGAGACAGCCUGAGCAGGGAUGGAUGGUUAUGCUGCAUGGUGCACUGCAGGCACUGCAUUAUUCACCAGGUUUCCUUGGCUCAUCGAAAGACUUGACUGUGAAUUUGUCUCCAGGUCUUCAGCUUUGCAAGCCCAGUGUCCCCACACAGCUUUGCCUGCUGCUGGCUUAAACCUGCCUGUUUGGACCCUGAUCCCAACAAGAAGGAUAAAGCAGGGCGAGCGCCAAGGGGCAUUUCUGCUGUACAACAUCUCAAAGGAAGCAGAAGAUCUUCCAGAGAUGCAAAUCUGCUUUGACUUGCAAGAUUCAACUCUCCAUUGAAUGAGGAGCUGAAGAAGUCACCCUGUUUGGACUUUGAAGGGUCAUGGUGGCCACCUAACUGACCCUUUUGGUGGGGCAGUUUAAUCCCUGAAAUGGUACAAUGGCCCCAGGCCAUUGCCCCAGUCACAGCACGGAAGCAGCUAAAGCAAGGAUGUGUGAUGACUAGGAUGGGUGGAUGGAUGGAUGGAUGGAUGGAUGGAUGGAUGGAUGGAUGGAUGAAUGGAUGGAUGGAUGGAUGAUUUUAAAAGGCACCUUGGAGCCCAGCACGUCACCAACUCCGCAGCUCUUUGGUUCCAGGUUUCAUCAUGAAACCCUUCAGAGACAUUGAGCUGCAUGUAGCAGCCUCCCUUCCUUGUCCUGGGGGCAGCUGGAGGACACACUUGGAGAAGGGAAGCUCCCAACCCCACGGCUACCCGUGCACCUUGGAAGAGGGCAGGCUGUGCCCAAGUGAUAAACGAUUGCAAAGUAGUCCAUUAAUUCAGGAGCAAAGAUACAAAGAACAGCCCAUCAGAGCUUCAAACUUCACCAUUUUGCUGUACCAAGCCGCCCUUGAAAUGCUAAUUAAAACGAGCUUGGGGAGAGGAGACUGCUAACAGGAUCACAGCCUCUCUUGGAUCCAGCAAUAGACAUGUAGUAGGCAUCCAUGUUUCCCCCGUAAGCUUAUUUUCCAAGCUGAGUUGACUGUAAAUGUUGCGGUAAUGUGAAACCCACACAGGGAGCGGGAUGCAAACACAAAGCAGAAAGAGACGCGAGGCCUAGUCAAGGAGCUGGAACAGAAAAAUACAUGGCAGCCUUCGGCAUAUAAAUAAAUAACUGCCCGAAAUGAGGGCUAAUUAACUUGCAAUAAACCGACUUAACCACUUAGGGGCAGCGUUAACACGGAGUUAACAUGCAAAACAAACCUGUGUGUUCUCACCUGGUUAAUUUAAUAUGCACCCUGAAUAUUCAUCAUGUAUCAAAUACCGAUACAUCCACGCACUGAGUGAUGUGGUCUGUCAAACCCGGGAACGUGAGAUAAUAGGGGUAACUCAGUCGCUGCUGCGCAGUGUUAACUUUGAUCAUUUGGUGCUUCUAAACACAUCCAUAGAUGUAGGACUUUGCUUCUUUUCCUCUGUCAGGGUCACAGAGUAUGUUCUAUACA